rnacentral:rRNA from 1 species
GUGAACGCUGGCGGCAGGCCUAACACCUGCAAGUCGAACGGCAGCACAAGAGAGCUUGCUCUCUGGGUGGCGAGUGGCGGACGGGUGAGGAAUGCAUCGGAAUCUGCCCAUUUGUGGGGGAUAACCUCGGGAAACCGGGACUAAUACCGCAUACGACCUACGGGUGAAAGCAGGGGAUCUUCGGACCUUGCGCAGAUGGAUGAGCCGAUGCCGGAUUAGCUAGUUGGAGGGGUAAAGGCCCACCAAGGCGACGAUCCGUAGCUGGUCUGAGAGGAUGAUCAGCCACACUGGGACUGAGACACGGCCCAGACUCCUACGGGAGGCAGCAGUGGGGAAUAUUGGACAAUGGGCGCAAGCCUGGUCCAGCCAUGCCGCGUGUGUGAAGAAGGCCUUCGGGUUGUAAAGCACUUUUGUUGGGAAAGAAAAGCAGCCGGUUAAUACCCGGUUGUCAUGACGGUACCCAAAGAAUAAGCACCGGCUAACUUCGUG